UUGCGAGCAAAAUACCUGAAUUUGACCUUAUUUUACACACAGCAGCUCCACCCAUUUUUCUUCUUUUUCUUUUCUUUUUGCAGUCCUUUUUCGGCUGAACCCUAAACUGAAAAACCCCAGCUGCCAUUUUCUCUCCCUUGCAAGAAACACCCAUAACCAUAUUCAAAGGUCAGCUCCCCCCAGCUCUAAAGAUUCAAUCUUUCUAACCCUAUACCCUUUUUAGUUUUAGUCUUUUUUUUUAUCGAUGGCGUGGUGAUUAAUAAUGAUUUGUACUGUGUAGAAAUAUUGAAAGAAUCCAUGGCAGAAGUGGGUGAAGCUACUUUAUGUUGUGCUCAAUGUGGCAAGCCUGCUCAUCUUCAGUAUGUUUCCACUAUUUUUAAUUUUUGUGUUCUUUUUUUGCUACUUUAUGUUGUGCUCAAUGUGGAAAGCCCGCUCAUCUUCAGUAUGUUUCGACUCUUUUUAAUUUUUUAUUCUUUUUUCAAUUGUAAAAAAGAUGUUUUUUGUAAUUUUCUUUGUUGAAUCUGAUUGCUUGGGUGGCUUUGAUACAAAUAUAUGCUUUAUGAUAUUCAACUGAGUUUGAGGUUAUGCACAUUGCUUACUUAUGUGUUCGGAUU
rnacentral:lncRNA from 1 species